CCGUUUCCGCGAGCCUGCACCCGCCGCUGCAAGGGGAUAGGGUUUCGCUCAUUCCGAACUCACUCACGCGUGCUUUCCUCGCUCCCCUCCCUCUCCUGCGACAGAAGUGGAUCUCGCAGUGCCGUCGCCUGUGUCAACAUCGCCGGCGGGCAUCCUCGCCGUUGUGGAGGUACAACCCUCCUCCUCCCCUCCCUCUCCAUGUCUCCCCUCCCUCUCCAUGUCUCCCAUCCGUCCACAUCCCUCUCCUCUCCUUCCCAUCUCCAUCUCUCUACCGCUCACCCUGCACUCGUGGUGCUUCUUCUCUGAUGCAGAUGGAUGAAAUGGCGGCCUCCAAUGGUUACAGAUUGGAAAUAGAUGUCUGUUCUCCGAUGCGGAUGGAUGGAUGCACCAAUGCGUUCUCUUCCCA
rnacentral:lncRNA from 1 species